rnacentral:tRNA from 1 species
UUGGGAAUGUAGCUCAGUGGUAGAGUGCUUGCCUAUCAGCACAUGCAAAGCCCUGGAUUCAAUCCCCAGUAUCAAAA